rnacentral:rRNA from 1 species
CGGGGAUAACAUUACGGGAAACGGGUGACUAAUACCGCAUAAUAUCUUCUUCCGCAUGGAAGAAGAUUGAAAGACGGCUCUGCUGUCACUUAUAGAUGACCUUGCGGUGCAUUAGUUAGUUGGUGGGGUAACGGCCUACCAAGACGAUGAUGCAUAGCCGACCUGAGAGGGUGAUCGGCCACAUUGGGACUGAGACACGGCCCAAACUCCCACGGGAGGCAGCAGUAGGGAAUCUUCCGCAAUGGGCGAAAGCCUGACGGAGCAAUGCCGCGUGAGUGAAGAAGGCCUUCGGGUCGUAAAACUCUGUUAUAAGAGAAGAACAAAUUGUAGAGUAACUGCUACAGUCUUGACGGUAUCUUAUCAGAAAGCCACGGCUAACUACGUG